UCGAGAAUUUUUCUCAAUGGGGGAAACCCUGAAGGAGCGACGCCGCGUGGAGGAUGAAGGUCUUCGGAUUGUAAACUCCUGUCAUUGGUGAACAAGACAUUGCCGUUAACUGCGGUGGUGUUUGAUAGUAGCCGAAGAGGAAGGGACGGCUAACUCUGUGCCAGCAGCCGCGGUAAUACAGAGGUCCCGAGCGUUGUUCGGAUUCAUUGGGCGUAAAGGGUGCGUAGGCGGCGGGGGAAGUCUGAUGUGAAAUCCUGGGGCUCAACCCUGGAACUGCAUUGGAUACUCCCUUGCUAGAGUACUGGAGAGGAAACUGGAAUUUACGGUGUAGCAGUGAAAUGCGUAGAGAUCGUAAGGAAGACCAGUGGCGAAGGCGAGUUUCUGGACAGUUACUGACGCUGAGGCACGAAGGCCAGGGGAGCAAACGG
rnacentral:rRNA from 1 species